rnacentral:snoRNA from 1 species
AGGGAUCGUAUGAUGAAGUAUUUUUCGGAUGUAAAUGCCUUCGGGCGCAAGUCCGAGAGCGCAAAAUCAUGUGGACACCUCCGUUGCCUUCCUUCUGAUAUUCCU